CAAAGGCAUGGUCCCGACCUUACUAUCAGCUCUAACCCAACUUACACAUGCAAGUCUCCGCACCCCAGUGAGUACGCCCUUAACCCCCUCCCGGGGGUAAGGAGCAGGCAUCAGGCACAAAUAUUUAGCCCAAGACGCCCAGCCUAGCCACACCCCCAAGGGAAUUCAGCAGUGAUAAACAUUAAGCCAUGAGUGAAAACUUGACUCAGUUAGCGUUAAGAGGGCCGGUAAAACUCGUGCCAGCCACCGCGGUUAGACGAGAGGCCCUAGUUGAUAUUAUAACGGCGUAAAGGGUGGUUAAGGAUAAAUAAUAAUAAAGCCAAAUGGCCCCUUGGCCGUCAUACGCUUCUAGGUGUCCGAGGCCCUAUAUACGAAAGUAGCUUUAAUUAACCCACCUGACCCCACGAAAACUGAGAAACAAACUGGGAUUAGAUACCCCACUAUGCUCAGUCGUAAACUUAGACAUCCAACUACAAUAGAUGUCCGCCAGGGUACUACGAGCAUUAGCUUAAAACCCAAAGGACCUGACGGUGUCUCAGACCCCCCUAGAGGAGCCUGUUCUAGAACCGAUAACCCCCGUUUAACCUCACCACUUCUAGCCACCCCAGCCUAUAUACCGCCGUCGUCAGCUUACCCUGUGAAGGAAACAAAAGUAAGCAAAAUGGGCACAGCCCAGAACGUCAGGUCGAGGUGUAGCGCAUGAAAUGGAAAGAAAUGGGCUACAUUUUCUGUAACAGAAUAUUACGAACAUGCACCAUGAAACAGUGCUUGAAGGAGGAUUUAGUAGUAAAAGGGAAAUAGAGUGUCCCUUUGAACCCGGCUCUGAGACGCGUACACACCGCCCGUCACUCUCCCCGUCAAAACGCACCAAAAUACCUAAUACAAUAGCACUGACAAGGGGAGGCAAGUCGUAACACGGUAAGUGUACCGGAAGGUGCACUUGGAUCAAACC
rnacentral:ncRNA from 1 species